AUUGAACGCUGGCGGCAUGCCUUACACAUGCAAGUCGAACGGUAACAGGUCUUCGGAUGCUGACGAGUGGCGAACGGGUGAGUAAUACAUCGGAACGUGCCCGAUCGUGGGGGAUAACGGAGCGAAAGCUUUGCUAAUACCGCAUACGAUCUACGGAUGAAAGCAGGGGACCGCAAGGCCUUGCGCGGACGGAGCGGCCGAUGGCAGAUUAGGUAGUUGGUGGGAUAAAAGCUUACCAAGCCGACGAUCUGUAGCUGGUCUGAGAGGACGACCAGCCACACUGGGACUGAGACACGGCCCAGACUCCUACGGGAGGCAGCAGUGGGGAAUUUUGGACAAUGGGCGCAAGCCUGAUCCAGCCAUGCCGCGUGCAGGAUGAAGGCCUUCGGGUUGUAAACUGCUUUUGUACGGAACGAAAGACUCUUUCUAAUAAAGAGGGUCCAUGACGGUACCGUAAGAAUAAGCACCGGCUAACUACGUGCCAGCAGCCGCGGUAA
rnacentral:rRNA from 1 species